AGUGAACGCUGGCGGUAGGCCUAACACAUGCAAGUCGAACGGCAGCACAGUAAGAGCUUGCUCUUACAGGUGGCGAGUGGCGGACGGGUGAGGAAUACAUCGGAAUCUACUUUUUCGUGGGGGAUAACGUAGGGAAACUUACGCUAAUACCGCAUACGACCUACGGGUGAAAGCAUGGGAUCUUCGGACCUUGCGCGAUUGAAUGAGCCGAUGUCGGAUUAGCUAGUUGGCGGGGUAAAGGCCCACCAAGGCGACGAUCCGUAGCUGGUCUGAGAGGAUGAUCAGCCACACUGGAACUGAGACACGGUCCAGACUCCUACGGGAGGCAGCAGUGGGGAAUAUUGGACAAUGGGCGCAAGCCUGAUCCAGCCAUACCGCGUGGGUGAAGAAGGCCUUCGGGUUGUAAAGCCCUUUUGUUGGGAAAGAAAAGCAGCAGGUUAAUACCCCGCUGUUCUGACGGUACCCAAAGAAUAAGCACCGGCUAACUUCGUG
rnacentral:rRNA from 1 species